rnacentral:tRNA from 1 species
AGGAUUAUAGUUUAAAUUAAUUAAAACAUUUAUUUUGCAAUUAAAAAAUAUUGAAAUAUUCAAUUUAUCUUA